CAGCAGCCACGGUAAUACGUAGGGUGCGAGCGUUAAUCGGAUUUACUGGGCGUAAAGCGUGCGUAGGCGGCUUCUUAAGUCGGAUGUGAAAUCCCUGAGCUUAACUUAGGAAUUGCAUUCGAUACUGGGAAGCUAGAGUAUGGGAGAGGAUGGUAGAAUUCCAGGUGUAGCGGUGAAAUGCGUAGAGAUCUGGAGGAAUACCGAUGGCGAAGGCAGCCAUCUGGCCUAAUACUGACGCUGAGGUACGAAAGCAUGGGGAGCAAACAGGAUUAGAUACCCCUGUAGUCCCUGUCUCUUAUAC
rnacentral:rRNA from 1 species